GGUUCCUGGUCACUUGGAAAAGUCCCAACUGGCUAAGAGGAACUCAGAAAGGUUCCGAAAGAACUAUAUCUACCCGGGUAGUUUUUGGUGGAAACACAGGGGGAACAUUAGGUCAGCUUUUGGGGAGAAGAAGAUGAAGAUGAAGAUGUGCACCAGAGACGUGAAGAAGAAGAAGAUGUGCAGCAAAGAAGUGAGCGUCCUAAAAGUGUGAGCUGUACUGUGGCCCCCCCUUCUCUCGUCAGCGUCCUGAAGGUCCCUAAAUGAGCUGCAGUGCAGGUGGCCCUUGGCAAAGGCCUAGUACCUGACUGCCCCCUAGCCAGGGAUACGGCGAAGACCUCAACGGCGGAGCAGGCGGAAGACGGUAGAUGUAUUAACCACCACAACGGCUGCGAUGGCGGAAGAAGGCACCCCCACAUCCAUGUGGGCCCAGUUAUGGAGAAAUAACAACCCAAGACCUCAACGGUGGAACAGGCGGAGGAUGAUUGCUAACCUUAUGGAGCGUCACAAUGACUGGGAUGGUGGAUGAAGGCUGCAGCAGAAAAGGGUCCCCAUUCGUCUUGGACUCCAUGCCACUGGACCCUGACCCAGAUCUGUCAAGGAUCGUGUGGUGACUGUCUGCGCACCAGUUUCCCCACGUUGAACAAAUUCACGCACAGGCAUCCUCCAUAAAGGGAUACCCCCCUACCAGAAGGACGUCAUACUCGUUUCGAGUGACCGCCGAUGAUGAUGAUGACUGGGUUCACUGUUCUAUGUUAGCAGUAUAUGCUUCUAUCAGUGACGUGCAGUCACUAGAGGCAGGUGAGGCGGGGCCUCACCUGCCAUCAUGGAAAGAAAAAAAAUUUAAAAAGAAAGAAAUUGUAUUAAAUAGUUAUAUGUAUCCAGUGAUUAUACUAUAAAGUUAUUUUCCAUUUAACUUCACCAGUUUUAGAUUAUUUUUAUUUAAAAUCGCUGAAUUUUCACAUUUGCCGUUCAAAUACUGAGAAGAGACGGUGCGGUGAUCAGCAGCCAGUUGAGGCACGUCACUGCGUUGUGCCUCAACAUGGAUUGCGGACUCGGCUAAUUGCUGGCCUGCCGUGCAGUGAGACCGUAUUGCUAUAUGAACUAUAUUAUACAUUUCCAUAGUUUAGUUAGCUGAGGUAUAUAAUGUACAGCGUAUUUUGUCAACAACUGUGUGUGUAACGUAUUUCUUGUGCUGAGCGAUCAUAAAACGGCUGCAAAAGACGCACUGGCUAAGGCUCGCAG